GCUCAGUUGGUGAAAUUGGUAAACACUGUAGACUUAAAAUCUAUUCCCUUUUAGGGUUACCGGUUCAAGUCCGGUAUUGAGCA
rnacentral:tRNA from 1 species